GGUGGGGCUGGUCUGUGCGCCAGACUGGGCCCCGUGCCACCCCUGUGCACUGGGAUGGGGCCCUGGGACCCCAUGCUGUCUCUACCUGACUGGAGCCUAAUCCCAGCCCAUUAGGACAGUGUGGCACUCUGGGCAUGUGGGAGCCAGGCAGAGGCAGUACAGGGCCCUGGGACCCUAUCCUGACUGGGCAAAGGAGAUGCAGAUGCCCACACUGCCUUGAUCCAGCUGGGUUUGUCUUUCAGGGACUCUGCACUGUCCCUGCCUGGCUGGGAUUGAGCUCUGGGGCCACUAUGCUGUGUUUACCUACCCGGGAUCAGGCCCCCCAACUACCUCUGCCCAGCCAGGAUUAGGCUCCAGGGCCCUGCGCUGCCUCUGCCUAGCAGGGAUCAGGCCCCACGCACCUGAUCUAGUGCGCAGGGCCAUGACCAGCAGGGCUCCUCACAGAUCCGUGGAGAGCCCUGUGGGCCAAAUUGUGGCUCCAAGGGCUUGAUCUGGCCUUUGGGCCAGGGGUUGCACUCCCUGGCCUAAGCUGCUGCUGCUUCUUUGUACUAGCUCAUGCUCUGAAAGAGUCUCUGAAGAGAGGAGAACCUCACCAGGAGAUGCAGGGGACUCGCAGGUACGGAAACCAUACAACCAGUUCCACUGGGUUCAUUGUGGUGCCUGCUUAGGUCAGAUUUGACAUUUCUGCUUGCUUGUUAUGUGCUGCUGUGCUUGGAAAUGCCUUAUCCCAAGUGCAAUAUUUCAUACAUAUUUUUGUAAUUCAUUCAAAACCUUUGCAGUUGUGGCAAGUAGCCAGCUAGAUAGAUGUGUUUAGUCCAAAAAUAAGUGUUUGUAGAUUAUAAAUAGUUCUUGUGCACACAGGGAAAGUAUUCCAGAGAAACAUGUUGGACUCAUUGCCUGAAAGAAGAGUGAGUAAGUAAAGGCAGCAUAGGCCAACUCUAACUAUGUUCCAAGACAUGCACUGCUAGGUUUCUUUGAUAGUUUCCUCUCUUAGUCAGUAAAAAAUGACUUAUAAUCAUGACUGCCCCAAUGUUGACUCUUUUUCUGUCAUGCAGAGGAGUAUUUUAAAUGAAGAAACUGAGUCAACUUUUUGUGAGGUUUAUUUGUACAGUUUCAUAGGGGGAAAAAAUCUUUCCCCAGACAUCCAGUGUCUCUUUUUUGACUUAAUUUUGUUGCAUCAUUGACCUGCUGAAAGGGGGAAGGCCAUCACAAGUGGUAAGGGGUGACAUUUUCCAGCUGCAAAGGGAUGGAAAGACUGAGGUCCAAAUCCUCCAUUUAGGCAUCUAAUUCCUAUGUAAGUGCCUAAAUACCAUUGGUUUCUGUGGGUGUUAAGCCUGGGAGUUAACCUUUGAGGAUCUAUGUCUAAGACUUGUUCACAUAUACAUAGAAACAUGGAACUAGACUUGGAUCUCAUAAGUCAUAUUUGGCAAAUGCCACCCAAUGUUUGCUCCCACUGCCCAGGAAUUAGUUGCGUCUGAAAGUGGGGACACAGAGUACCUUUAUCCUUUAGCACACCUGCUGGUAUCAAGGACCUGCACAUUGGCUUAGGUGGCAUAGUCCAGCAUAAAUUUUAACAGGUCUAUGUCUUAGGUGCAAUAUCUUUUGUGGUAAUCUUAUAAUUACUAUAUAAACCUUGCAAGAGGCAAGGAUAUUUUAUGGUGAUAUCUUUUAUUGGACCAGCUGUGUAGUUGGCUUAAAGUUAGACAAGCUUUUGAAUGCAAGAUGUUCUUCCUCAGGUCACUUUUGAGGAUCUGUGUCUAAGAGACUUGUGACCUGAGGAAGAGUGUCUUGCACUAGAAAGCUUAUCCUAAUUACAAAGAGAAGGACCUCUUGGAGGUGGGGGCACCACAGAUCACCAGGAAAGCCAGGGAAUGAGAAGAUCCAGGUUUUCAAAGCCAGGGGCUCCUUUUGAAGCCAUGUUAGGACCAUCUACAGGGGGUCCUUUCAGGAGAGGAAGACGGAAUAAAGUUGCUUUUUGGAGAAUCCCAAGGAACUACUUUCUUGUUCCCCUUGAAAGGGGUGUUUGAUUCUGCAUGACAGGUGGGGCCUGCUUAAAGCAACCCUCACUCAGGACAGCCCCAUAGAAGCAGUGGAGAUUAUAACAGGCUCACUCAUGCACACACACUCACUCUAGGCACGCAGACAGUACAUUACUUGGUGACCAUUAAAAGUUGUUCUAGGAAUUGUGUGCAGUGUUGUGGGCGAGCCCAGCUUUAACAGGCAUAAAGCAAAAUCAGUGUUUGCGCAAAUAAAUUAAUCUUACGGAUAGAGAGCCCACUUUAAGUUUCUUCAUACAAAGCACCCUAAUCCUUUGUUGUGGCCUCCUAAUCAGCCUCACUGUAACAGAUAGUGGUAUCGCAAACUGGGGAUUAUGAUACUUUCAGCUCUGCCUGAGAGCAGAUGGAAAUUAACUGUUUGAAGGGAAAGGUCCUUCUCAAAGGCAAGCUUUUGUAUUUAUCUUAACAACCCUAUCUUAACAAUUAGCACAUCAAUUAAUGGCUUUUUCAAAGUGUGUUUUUGUUUAUUUUGAUAUGAAGAAAACCUUUCCCAGGGUCUUCGUGUACUCAAAAAAACCCCUAACGAAAUCAUUGCCUCAAAAUACCAUUUGAAAUCUCCUUGUUCACCACUGAUUAUUGAAAAUCAGCAUGUUUUGAGCUCAGAAAGAUUUUUUUCUUAAAUCUGUAACUAAUUUUCUCUUGCUAAAAAUUCCUUUAACCAACAUUUUUAAGUUUUUCUUGCCCUCAAUCAGAUAUUUCAGGAAUUUAGGCUGGAGAGAAAACAAAGGUCUUCAAAUAGAUUAAAUGGAUUACAUUGCUUUUUUCAUAAAGGCAAAAGUUAAAGUACAUGAACUACAUUUACUACUGAAUCUACAGGGUGGCAGAGAAAUUCAUUUUUGCAGAAUGAAAGUUUGAUAGUUACUAAUUUUCAGGUGAUUUAUAACUGGUUUAUGUUUGUAGGGGUCCAUUGUUACAGAAAACAGUCUCUUGUUUCUGAGAGAAUCAACAGGCUUUAAUGGGAAUGGACUCUUUGACUAAGGUAGUUUACAAUCCCCUUCCCUUCUGACCCCUUGCUUUGAGAUUUGAUUGAAUGCUGAGAGUGUUUUUGCAAGGAGUGGAGAGCAAAUAAAUAAGACAUAAUUGAGCUGUCACAAGUUGUAGAGUUAUGGCUGUAUUUUGCCCUGGCACUGGUCUUAUGCUAGAUUAAUUCCAAUAAAAUGGGGUGAGUGAGCAGAAUCCAGCUCAUCUCUAUGAAGACAGACAUGUUUUACUGAAGGUCAGACUCUGUUAGCUCCAGUAACAGUUGACUUAUUCAUAAUGCAAACAGAAAAACAUUUGCACACUAAUAAACUGGCAAGGCAGUGUGUAGUGUGGAGAUGCAAAGCACUUACUAAUACUAAUACUAUUCCCUUCAUUGUGAAUGUACUGCACAGGCAGGUUAAGCUGUGACUUCUGCAAUCACCCUGUGUUCUCAAAUACUUCAAACUUUCUCAAUUAAUCUGUUUUUCAGCCUAAAUAUCUCAGGUUUAGGUUUUUCAAUGUGGAUAAAAUCUUUUUGCCCAUUUUUUGAAUUGCAUGAGAAAUAUUAUUUUUUUUAAGUAGAUUUAGAAGCUUUCCUGGUUUGAACCAUCCUAAGGAAGAAAGAUAACAGACAGAACCGUGGAAGAGGGUCGACCAUGGACAGAUGCAGAAAGUUUGCAAGUGGGCUGCAGGAGCGGCAACCUGCACGUCAGGGGUGGCUGCAGCCUGGUUCCCAGCAUUUACCCUCUUUCUGGGCAGACCAGACCACAGGAGCAGCAGCAGGGACUUUCUAAGUCCUUCAGGCAGUGGCUGUGAUGGGCUCUAGAAGCAUGCUAGACGUUCUUCAUUCAACAUGUAAUGCAUCUUUGCCCAAAGAUACCUAGCAUAUGGGUGUGAAAUGAUCCCCGUCAUAUUUACUUUCAUCAUAUUUACUUUAUCUUCACCCACUAUUAAAGGAUCUUUAAUGAAAGUGUUGCCGAUAAAAGACAGAAAUAAUUUUCCU